CUGAGAAGACGUUUUUCAAACCAAAUAAUUAUUAAAGAAAAUAAUAUAAUUCAAAUAAAGGCUGAGAAUUGUUCAAAAAUUAAUAAUAAACUGAGAGGACGUAUUGAAUACAUUCAAAUAAAAAUAAAGAAGAAUAUAAUUCAAAUAAAGGUUAUUAAACAAGAAACAAAAAGCAAGUCAAAUUAAAUCAAAUGCAACAAAUUCAAAUGAAAUCCAACACGAUGAAAGAAGCCAGCCAACAAGAUAAAAAUAAUUCCAACUUUGCAGAAGCCAGCGAUUCUGAAACAUUGUUAGAUUCAAAUCAACAUGAUGCAAACAAUUCCAACUGUGAAAAUAAAAAAGCAGAAGUUGGUUUCUUCCCAAAAUAUUAGAGAAACGCAAUAACCUUAUGGGGAAUCUCAAUAUAUGGACGUUUCUGUAUGUUGAUGUUAAUCAAAUCAUUGAAGUGCGAUCAAAAGUGUUUAUGUUGCCUUUUCUAAUAGCAUGCAACAUACUCUAUGGUUUUAUUUACAUUUUGCGGCUUUCGAUACAAUUAGUAUUGACUUCACUAGCCGAUGAAACUUUCAAAAUCAUAAUGAUAAUAUAAUAAUUUAUAUAAUUUUUUCAUCUUCGGAUUUGUUUAAAAAUGUCU